AGUAGCUGGGAUUACUGGCUCCUGCACCCGGCUAAUUUUUCCCAGCAUGUGAUCCAGCUUGAUCCCAGCAUAUGAUCCAGCUUGAUGAACGUUCCCUGUGCACAUGAAAAGAAUGGAUAUUCUUCUGUUGUUGGCUGUAGUGUUCUAUGUCAGACGGAGUCUCGCUCUAUCGCCCAGGCUGGAGUGCAGUGGC